rnacentral:rRNA from 1 species
UUUGUCCUACGGGGGGCAGCAGUGGGGAAUAUUGCACAAUGGGGGAAACCCUGAUGCAACAACGCCGCGUGAGUGAUGACGGCCUUCGGGUUGUAAAGCUCUGUCUUCAGGGACGAUAAUGACGGUACCUGCGGAGGAAGCCACGGCUAACUACGUGCCAGCAGCCGCGGUAAUACGUAGGUGGCGAGCGUUGUCCGGAUUUACUGGGCGUAAAGGGAGCGUAGGCGGACUUUUAAGUGAGAUGUGAAAUACUCGGGCUCACC